rnacentral:rRNA from 1 species
AGCGAACGCUGGCGGCAGGCCUAACACAUGCAAGUCGAACGGACCCUUCGGGGUUAGUGGCGGACGGGUGAGUAACACGUGGGAACGUGCCUUUAGGUUCGGAAUAGCUCCUGGAAACGGGUGGUAAUGCCGAAUGUGUCCUUCGGGGGAAAGAUUUAUCGCCUUUAGAGCGGCCCGAGUCUGAUUAGCUAGUUGGUGAGGUAAUGGCUCACCAAGGCGACGAUCAGUAGCUGGUCUGAGAGGAUGACCAGCCACAUUGGGACUGAGACACGGCCCAAACUCCUACGGGAGGCAGCAGUGGGGAAUCUUGCGAAAUGGGCGAAAGCCUGACGCAGCCAUGCCGCGUGAAUGAUGAAGUUCUUAGGAUUGUAAAAUUCUUUCACCGGGGACGAUAAUGACGGUACCCGGAGAAGAAGCCCCGGCUAACUUCGUGCCAGCCGCCGCAGUAAUAC